UACGAGGGGUGCUAGCGUUAUUCGGAAUGACUGGGCGUAAAGAGUGUGUAGACGGCGUAUUAAGUCUGUUGUUAAAUUCCCUGGCUUAACCAGGGACAUGCAGUGGAAACUGAUAUGCUAGAGGGUGGAAGAGAGAAGUGGAAUUCUCGGAGUAGCGGUAAAAUGCGUAGAUAUCGAGAGGAACACCAAUGGCGAAAGCAGCUUCUUGGUCCACUCCUGACGUUGAGACACGAAAGCGUGGGGAGCAAACAGG
rnacentral:rRNA from 1 species